GACGAACGCUGGCGGCGCGCUUAACACAUGCAAGUCGAGCGGUAAGGCCCUUUCGGGGGUACACGAGCGGCGAACGGGUGAGUAACACGUGGGUGACCUGCCCUCAGCUCUGGGAUAAGCCUGGGAAACUGGGUCUAAUACUGGAUAUGACUCCACGGUGCAUGUCGUGGGGUGGAAAGCCUUGUGCGGCUGAGGAUGGGCCCGCGGCCUAUCAGCUUGUUGGUGGGGUGAUGGCCUACCAAGGCGACGACGGGUAGCCGGCCUGAGAGGGCGACCGGCCACACUGGGACUGAGACACGGCCCAGACUCCUACGGGAGGCAGCAGUGGGGAAUCUUGCGCAAUGGGCGAAAGCCUGACGCAGCGACGCCGCGUGAGGGAUGAC
rnacentral:rRNA from 1 species